rnacentral:rRNA from 1 species
GACGAACGCUGGCGGCGUGCUUAACACAUGCCAGUCGAACGGAAAGGCCCUGCUUUUGUGGGGUGCUCGAGUGGCGAACGGGUGAGUAACACGUGAGUAACCUGCCCUUGACUUUGGGAUAACUUCAGGAAACUGGGGCUAAUACCGGAUAGGAGCUCCUGCUGCAUGGUGGGGGUUGGAAAGUUUCGGCGGUUGGGGAUGGACUCGCGGCUUAUCAGCUUGUUGGUGGGGUAGUGGCUUACCAAGGCUUUGACGGGUAGCCGGCCUGAGAGGGUGACCGGCCACAUGGGGACUGAGAUACGGCGCAGUCUCCUACGGGAGGCAGCAGUGGGGAAUAUGGCACAAUGGGGGGAAGCCUGAUGCAGCAACGCCGCGUGCGUGAUGACGGCCUUCGGGUUGUAAACCGCUUUCGCCUGUGACGAAGCGUGAGUGACGGUAAUGGGUAAAGAAGCACCGGCUAACUACGUG